CAGAAGCAGUUGCUUGUGCAUUAAUGGGUGCUUUGCUGUGGACAAACUGGGGCUGUGGGUGAGAUGGAAGCAGAUGGUUUGCAAGUGUUCUUCAGCAAUGGGAACAUUUCUUCAACUGAAUUCUGAACCCACAGCCCCAUGGGAAGAGGGAUCAGAGGUCACAUCACGGUUCAGAGGGCCUCCAGACCUUCAGCAUCCCAUGCGCAUUCCAGGGAGAGGAAAGGGCAAAGCAGCCUCCCUGUCCAUCUGCCUGUCCCAUACAGAGCCUCAGAAAGCCUCUCAGCGCACUCAAGUCUCACUCCUCGAUCUGAGUCUCACAGCCCUACCACACCACAGGCACUCAUGGGAUGAGCCUUGUGGGUCCUGAUGAGGACUGAGUGCCUUUUGUGUGUGCACAUCCAUUGCUGAGCCUUACCUGUCAGGCUUACCUGUUUCCACCUAGAAAGUGAGAGGCAGUGGAAGCCGCAAGUGCAGACUGUGAGGUAUGAACUUACCCUGAAUGGCAGAUGGAGCAUCAGAGAUGGUCCCCUCUGUAAAGGGCCUAAAUGCCACUACUCUUCAGCAGCUAAAUGUCCAUGCUCAGCAUCAGGGGCUGAGACAUGCUCAGUGACCUGAAUGAAGAAUCAACAGAGCCCACUCACCAGACCAACACCAACAUCCAAAACUGUUGGUUCACUCUGUCUGUUACCAAGCUGACAACAAAUUAAAGGGUACAGUCUGUACUAGAAUUCUGUGUCCCCCAGGAAGCAGACACAGAGAGCCUUGAAGGACAA